rnacentral:rRNA from 1 species
UACGGAGGGGGCAAGCGUUCUUCGGAAUUAUUGGGCGUAAAGGGCGCGUAGGCGGCCUGGCAAGUGUGCGGUGAAAUCCCUCGGCUUAACCGAGGAACUGCCCUCCAAACUGCUUGGCUUGAGUCCGGGAGAGGUGAGUGGAAUUCCCAGUGUAGCGGUGAAAUGCGUAGAUAUUGGGAGGAACACCAGUGGCGAAGGCGGCUCACUGGACCGGAACUGACGCUGAGGAGCGAAAGCGUGGGGAGCAAACGGG